UGGGGGAUAUUGCGCAAUGGGGGCAAUCCUGACGCAGCAACGCCGCGUGAAGGAUGAAGGUUUUCGGAUUGUAAACUUCUUUUAUUAAGGACGAAACUUGACGGUACUUAAUGAAUAAGCUCCGGCUAACUACGUGCCAGCAGCCGCGGUAAUACGUAGGGAGCAAGCGUUGUCCGGAUUUACUGGGUGUAAAGGGUGCGUAGGCGGCUUUGCAAGUCAGAUGUGAAAUCUAUGGGCUCAACCCAUAAACUGCAUUUGAAACUGUAGAGCUUGAGUGAAGUAGAGGCAGGCGGAAUUCCCCGUGUAGCGGUGAAAUGCGUAGAGAUGGGGAGGAACACCAGUGGCGAAGGCGGCCUGCUGGGCUUUAACUGACGCUGAGGCACGAAAGCGUGGGUAGCAAACAGGAUUAGAUACCCUGGUAGUCCACGCUGUAAACGAUGAUUACUAGGUGUGGGGGGUCUGACCCCUUCCGUGCCGGAGUUAACACAAUAAGUAAUCCACCUGGGGAGUACGGCCGCAAGGUUGAAACUCAAAGGAAUUGACGGGGGCCCGCACAAGCAGUGGAGUAUGUGGUUUAAUUCGAAGCAACGCGAAGAACCUUACCAGGUCUUGACAUCCAACUAACGAAGUAGAGAUACAUUAGGUGCCCUUCGGGGAAAGUUGAGACAGGUGGUGCAUGGUUGUCGUCAGCUCGUGUCGUGAGAUGUUGGGUUAAGUCCCGCAACGAGCGCAACCCUUGCUAUUAGUUGCUACGCAAGAGCACUCUAAUAGGACUGCCGUUGACAAAACGGAGGAAGGUGGGGACGACGUCAAAUCAUCAUGCCCCUUAUGACCUGGGCUACACACGUACUACAAUGGAUGUUAACAGAGGGAAGCAAGACAGCGAUGUGGAGCAAACCCCUAAAAACAUUCUCAGUUCAGAUUGCAGGCUGCAACCCGCCUGCAUGAAGAUGGAAUUGCUAGUAAUCGCGGAUCAGCAUGCCGCGGUGAAUACGUUCCC
rnacentral:rRNA from 1 species